rnacentral:rRNA from 1 species
AGAGUUUGAUCCUGGCUCAGGACGAACGCUGGCGGCGUGCCUAAUACAUGCAAGUCGAGCGGACAGAUGGGAGCUUGCUCCCUGAUGUUAGCGGCGGACGGGUGAGUAACACGUGGGUAACCUGCCUGUAAGACUGGGAUAACUCCGGGAAACCGGGGCUAAUACCGGAUGGUUGUUUGAACCGCAUGGUUCAAACAUAAAAGGUGGCUUCGGCUACCACUUACAGAUGGACCCGCGGCGCAUUAGCUAGUUGGUGAGGUAACGGCUCACCAAGGCGACGAUGCGUAGCCGACCUGAGAGGGUGAUCGGCCACACUGGGACUGAGACACGGCCCAGACUCCUACGGGAGGCAGCAGUAGGGAAUCUUCCGCAAUGGACGAAAGUCUGACGGAGCAACGCCGCGUGAGUGAUGAAGGUUUUCGGAUCGUAAAGCUCUGUUGUUAGGGAAGAACAAGUACCGUUCGAAUAGGGCGGUACCUUGACGGUACCUAACCAGAAAGCCACGGCUAACUACGUGCCAGCAGCCGCGGUAAUACGUAGGUGGCAAGCGUUGUCCGGAAUUAUUGGGCGUAAAGGGCUCGCAGGCGGUUUCUUAAGUCUGAUGUGAAAGCCCCCGGCUCAACCGGGGAGGGUCAUUGGAAACUGGGGAACUUGAGUGCAGAAGAGGAGAGUGGAAUUCCACGUGUAGCGGUGAAAUGCGUAGAGAUGUGGAGGAACACCAGUGGCGAAGGCGACUCUCUGGUCUGUAACUGACGCUGAGGAGCGAAAGCGUGGGGAGCGAACAGGAUUAGAUACCCUGGUAGUCCACGCCGUAAACGAUGAGUGCUAAGUGUUAGGGGGUUUCCGCCCCUUAGUGCUGCNGCUAACGCAUUAAGCACUCCGCCUGGGGAGUACGGUCGCAAGACUGAAACUCAAAGGAAUUGACGGGGGCCCGCACAAGCGGUGGAGCAUGUGGUUUAAUUCGAAGCAACGCGAAGAACCUUACCAGGUCUUGACAUCCUCUGACAAUCCUAGAGAUAGGACGUCCCCUUCGGGGGCAGAGUGACAGGUGGUGCAUGGUUGUCGUCAGCUCGUGUCGUGAGAUGUUGGGUUAAGUCCCGCAACGAGCGCAACCCUUGAUCUUAGUUGCCAGCAUUCAGUUGGGCACUCUAAGGUGACUGCCGGUGACAAACCGGAGGAAGGUGGGGAUGACGUCAAAUCAUCAUGCCCCUUAUGACCUGGGCUACACACGUGCUACAAUGGACAGAACAAAGGGCAGCGAAACCGCGAGGUUAAGCCAAUCCCACAAAUCUGUUCUCAGUUCGGAUCGCAGUCUGCAACUCGACUGCGUGCGGCUGGAUCACCUCCUUUCUAAGGAUAUUAUACGGAAUAUAAGACCUUGGGUCUUAUAAACAGAACGUUCCCUGUCUUGUUUAGUUUUGAAGGAACUUUGUUCCUUGAAUAAGUUAAGAUGGGCCUG